UUCACGGGCUCCGAUUUGGCGCUGGAUGGCUUCUUCACGGAUGCUGUUGUUGGCUCUGGAGGGCUUCUGCUGGCGCUGGAUUUGGCUCUGGAAGACUUCCCCACAGGCGUUGAUGUUUUGAUCGAGAUUAGAGUCGUAAAUCCUUUCUCUCGAUCCGGCUCGAAGGA